GUUUUAUGGUGACGUGGCUUGUUUUCAUCAAAGUCCUACAGGGUGGCUGGACGCGGAGAAGCUCUGCCGGGUCGCCGCUGUUGUAAAUCUUGGUUAAUCUGCCUUGGCUGGAACCAGAUGAUGGGCGGCUGUUGCACUUCAAAGUCCUCAGCCUCCCCAACGUUGGAGAACAGUCGCAGAAGAACAGAUGAUGGGGCGGUUAGUGGGUCACGAAGCUCUUCUGUAAACUGCUGGGCACGACGCAUCAGGACAGGAGGACAGCCUGCCUGGCGUCAGGGUCAGGAGGUCCAUGGUUGCAGGUUAAUGGGGUUCAUUGCUCUGCUCAUCUGCAGGUCAAGGUUCCACUUGAGUUUAAAACUGGCCCUGAGGAGCUCUUCUCUAUGGAUGUUUUUUACGGGAACUCGUGAAGGACCACGUCAGUUUGCUUGUAUUAUUUACCGCCCUGCGUUGAGCGCAGACAUCAGCGCGCUUAUCCUCUCAGAGAGAACGCCGCGGAGCUACGUCACGGGGGCCUGGGCUGCCAAGAAAGAGCAUCGGAGCUCCACCACACACGCUAGUGGAGAACGUCAGGACAGAGUCUUGACGUACAUCAUUUCCACACACUCGCUUCACACUGUGGAGCUGCCUCAGAUACAUCAGAAGAUCCUAUAAACAUGGUCCGCUUCCAACUGCAGAGAUCAUUAAUCACACAAGAUGAAUUCGUCCAGAGUUCAGCAGAGCUUCUGCUCGAGGCCGGGACGGGGGUCGUAGGUCGGGUCACUGCUCCUUUCCCACAGAUAAGCCUGGACAUUAGGACGUCCCCUUUACUACGUCUGGCUCCGUCACUUCCUCCCCGGCUGAGUCACCUUCUCGCCACAUGCAGGAAGUGGCCUGAAUGUUCCUGUCAUGAGGAGGACCACGUCCUGCGAGAGGUGUGACUGAGCCAUUUCCCUGCUCGGCAUUGUCAAGCCUGGGGAGGAAGCAGCUCCGCCCGGCCCCACCCACUUACCGUACACCCUGCUUGCUCACUCCUCACACAUGAGAGAUCUUCACAAGAUCAAUUCUAGGAAGGAAGCCCAAAACUUUCCACAGAGGACAUGAAAGGGGUCACCUUUAAAAAUAACGCAGUACAUUUACAUCCACAGCAUUUACCAGACCUACAACCAGAAGUGACAAGGACAGUCCCCCUGGAGACACUCAGGGACACGAUGGUAGUAAGUGGGGUUUAAGCCUGGGACUUUGGGGUCUUCUGGUUAAUAGGUCGAAUGCCUAACCCAUUGUGGGUUUUUUUUAUCUGGCAUGAUCUCUCAUUUCAGGGUAGCUUUACAGCCCCAUUUCCUGUUUCCACUGCUUAUGACCCUCCACUGGUCACAUGACCUGAGAGGCCAACCAGAUUACAUCUCAGCGACAACGUCUACCUUGGUCUGAGAGCAGGAGGAACUGAACUCCCAUCAGAUCUGCUGAAGGUCUGCUGGCCUGGUCACAGCCCAGCAGCAGGCGUCCAGAGACCAGACACCUUCCACGCCAUCCAGCACUGACGUCUGGACUCUUAUCCAAACGGCAGGAAGAUGAUGGGUGAAAAAGCACAGACGGAGAAAAUCUCUUGUUUUCUACGAAUGCUCUUCAUUACUGCAGAGUGUGGGAACCUCAAUCAGCCACUUUCUGUACCGAGUUCUCAUCAGCAGUAACCUGGACAGAUGUUCCUGCACCAAACUUUCACCACAUGUGAAUAAAUCUGUUUUGAGGCUAAUAUGCA
ensembl:lncRNA